rnacentral:lncRNA from 1 species
CCUAUUUAAGAACAACAACGUACCCUUACACAGGAGAGAUCAGACACUUUGAAAGAAAAAUCAGAAAAAAAAUAAAGAAAAACAUCAGAAUACAAAAAAAAGAAGAAAAAGAAACAUUCAGAAACAUCAGACAAGAAAAGGAAAAAGUGUGAAGUUGAAGUCGGGUUUAUUUUCGAGUUUUCGGUGAUAAUUUUUCUUGCUUUAUUACUCCAUUUAAAUUAAUCACAAGUUCUUAUUCAAACAUGAACCAUUUUAUAUUAUAAAUUUCA